rnacentral:lncRNA from 1 species
CACAUUCCCAUAACCUCAGUAUAUAAGGUAUGCUGAGGAGGCCUCAAGCCAUUCCAGGCUCUUCUGUGCCUGUGGGACUACAUUCUCUGUGCCGGGCUUAGAGAACACGAAGAGGGAGCCAUCUGCCACACUCUGGAGGCUGAAGCCUGCACCAGUGCUGCUCGCCUCACUGUGGUAGGUGGUGGUGAUGGAAACUGCAGAUCGGCCAGAGUGGUAGAAAAGUUGCUGCAGGGUUUUUCUGGCUUUGCCUGCCCAGCUGCUCCAUGCCUGGCUAGAGGAGAAGGAGGAGCCACAUGUGGUACACUGGAGGCUGGAGCCUGCAGAUGGCAUGGCUCUGCGGCUCACCUUGCUGCAGUUGGUGGUGGUGACAGAGACUGCAGCUUGACUGUAGUGGUGGUUACCAGGAGCUCUGCCACUGCAUGUCCACUAGUGACGGGUUCGCUCCACCACCCCAGCUGGGUAGCCGCUGCUCUCACAUAAGGGGUCCAAUUAAAAUUGCCAGGAAUAAAUUCCCCCGGACUUUGACUUCUCAAGAGCUAAGAAGGUUUGCUGAGUAUUCUGGCAUGAUGUUUGGUGAUCAAACAACUGCUGGCCAAAAAUGAUGAGUAUUUCCCCCUCUUGCUGAAGAUGUGCUCCAUACAAUAGUCCAUCACAUUCAUCAUUCAUCAGUCUGGAAGUGUGCAGCCAAUCAUAUUAUCUAUCACAUGUUGUUCUGGCUUUUUUUUUUUUUCCAAUGUCCAGCCUAAACUAUAAAGAACUUUGAGAACGCACAGUGAACCAUAAGCUUGCCAAUAAAGAGUCCUCUGUGGUAUGGAACUGGCUUAUUUCAUACACAAUCUGCAAACAAUGAGGGCACUAUUGGAAACAUACUGUGCUGCACAGAGCAUUUACACCACUUAUCUUUAAUCUUCCCCAGCAAUCCUUGCUUUGUGCGCAUUUAUGAUCCUUGCUCUCAGAAGUCCACAUACUUUUCCCCAACCGUAACAAAUUAUUUAACUCAUCUAAUGUAUGUAUGUCCGCGCAGUCUGAAAACAGUAAUUGUCCUUGGGAAGAAGUGAGUUUAAGAGAGCUCUAGGGCACUCAUCACAACUCCAGCCCUGCCCUCCAUGUGGUAGCAGCUCUUUGGACUGGGGCUAAGUGCUUAUUCUUGUGCUUCAUUCCUGGUAAGCUCAAUUUCUUUACCUUAGGAUAACUUUGCUGGAAAAGGGCUCAGAUUCAGCCGACCAUUGUGGCCUCUGUGGCUGUCACAGCUUGUCCCUGACAUGCUAUGAUGUUGGGUCCCCUUCUCAUCCCCUUGGGAUUUCUUCUGCUGGCCCACAGCCAGAACAACUAGGCCUUUUACUCCACCAUCCCUUUGUUUUCUUUUGUUUCGUUGGUAAAAAUCAAUCCUUCUACCAUCCAUGCAUAGCAAUUUCUAAAAACUGAAUUUCAAGAGCAGUAUCUGAAGAAACAAACAUGAUUUGGUCCUUUUAGUAAACAGAAUAAAUUUUAAUAAAUCAACUUUGAAAUAGUUGUAAGAGUUAAGAAAAAGCACAAAACUGAGAUCAUCAGAGCAGCUUGGCCUCAAAGGACAGGCAGCAGGAUUCUACAGGGUUUGAGCCUUCCUAAGUGAAGCUGUUUCCUGCAGGCUCCCUGCUCCAAGCUCCUAGCUAACAGCCCCUUCUCCCACGAUUGGCAACAAAGAGCAAAAAUAACUUUGUACUUGAUGCUGAGUCAGUGUAAAAAGCCAUAAAAAAUUCCCUCUAAAUGUCAAAAUGUUUGCCUCCUUUGAGGCUUCUCUCCUCCUACUGGGUCUGGAUAAAUUAGCACUGGGCUUAUAUUGAGUCACAGAUCUGGGCCCUGCCACAGAGAGCUUCCUCCUAGUGUGUGAUGCUUUUUCUCCAAACUAUUGAUACAAAAUGCACUGGAAUAGAAAUCAACAGAAACUGGUCAAAGGUGUGGCAUACACAUUCUCAUGUAGAUGUAAAGCUGUGCUUAGAAUUCCUUUGUGGAGUCUGGUUUGGUCUUGGUUUUCUUGGUGUUUGAUUCAUUUUUUUACGUAAAUUACAAAAACCCUCCACAUUUCUUCAUGGAUUGUAUUAGUCCAUGUUCUCCAGAGAAGCAGAACGAGUUGGAUGUAUGUUUUGGAAGAGAUUAUGAGGAACCGGCUCAUGUGAUGAAGGAGGUUGAGAGGUCCUGUGCUCUGCCAUCUGCAAGCUGAAGACCUGGAAAGCUGAGGGUGUGGCUCCAGUCUGAGUCUGAAGGCCCAAGAACCAGGGGAACCAACGGUGUAGAUUCCAGGUUGAAGGCAGGAGAAGAUGGAUGUCCCAGCUCAGCAGGCAGGCAGGAAGCAAAUGGGGUAAAUUCCUCCUUCCUCCA